GAGUUUGAUCUUGGCUCAGAUUGAACGCUGGCGGCAUGCCUUACACAUGCAAGUCGAACGGCAGCACGGGAGCUUGCUCCUGGUGGCGAGUGGCGAACGGGUGAGUAAUGCAUCGGAACGUAUCCUGGAGUGGGGGAUAACGUAGCGAAAGUUACGCUAAUACCGCAUAUUCUGUGAGCAGGAAAGCGGGGGACCUUCGGGCCUCGCGCUCUUGGAGCGGCCGAUGUCGGAUUAGCUAGUUGGUGAGGUAAAGGCUCACCAAGGCGACGAUCCGUAGCAGGUCUGAGAGGAUGAUCUGCCACACUGGAACUGAGACACGGUCCAGACUCCUACGGGAGGCAGCAGUGGGGAAUUUUGGACAAUGGGGGCAACCCUGAUCCCAGCCAUGCCGCGUGAGUGAAGAAGGCC
rnacentral:rRNA from 2 species